CGCUUACAGUGUCGUGUUUCGUGACAUUUUAAAUAGAAAAAUAUCACAUAUUGAUGAAAGUGUCAUAAAAAGGGCUAAAGUUUUAUUAUUGCAUUGUGAAUAAUAUUGCUUGCCGCUACCUGCGUAGUUGGUAGUAGAUGUUUAAUAAAAAACUAUGUAAUUGUUUUAUUAUAAAUCCUAAGAUAUUAUCAGAAUGCUAAAAUGUCCCUACCAUAAGUAUAUUUUAAUUGAAAAAAUGGCAGCAUUUCGUCCCCAAAUACAAUUCCUUCUCAGCUAUUAUUGUUGUAUAUAUAAAUUUUUUAUAAUACAAGAAAUAUUUGAUAAUUGCACAAAAAUCGGAGCGCAAAUGUUGCAAUACUGGAGAUGUAGAAACGAUUCUAUUUUUCGAAACUAAGAUUUUACAUGUGUCGAAUGUAGGGAAGGACAAUGUGAAUGAAAGAGAAAGAGGAACUGAGAAUCGAAGCGAUCAAUAAAUAUUAAAAGGCUGCGAUAAGCUGAGACCUCGAACUUAAAAAUCAAACUUUCUUAUUUUUUAUUUGCGACCAAUGAAACUUUUACCAACAUGUUUCUUACAUUUUUCGGAUUAAAAUGACACCAAACACGAUGUAUUUUGGCGCAUAUUUCUAUACUCGUUUUAAUCGGAAACAUCUCACAAACACAUACAUUGCCUCGUGGAUAUCUGACAUUGGAUCAUGUUACACUACUCGAGGGUCAACAGACUGUCGAGCCUUUCAGUCCGUCAAGGGAACCUUCUCUCCGUCGUGGAGAUGACGAGUGUGCAACGAAGACUACUUUUUAGUUGUUAAAUAGCUUUUUGGAAAAACUAAUAAACAUUUGGAUAUAAAAUUUUGCAUACUCUUA